rnacentral:lncRNA from 13 species
AUGAGCUACACGAGUCUCAUGAAGACCCCUUCCUCUGCUAAAAGCUGCCUCAUUGUACCGCUUCUGUAUUCACUUCACAGACAGAGGAUCAAAUGCAACACUACUACAAAAGCUGAAAAAAUUCAUCACCAGCUCCUUCAGGCAGAAGGAAAAUGAUGCCAGGUGGAAAUGUGGAUCUACACAAAGGAAUAAACAACCCUAGAGAUUAUGACUAUGUGGUUAA